CUGAGAUUAAGAGUUGAAUGCUAAAUGACUGAGCCAUCCAGGUACCCUGGAGCAUGAAUCUGAUGUGGACCUUCCUCCACCUUCUCUUCCUGGAGCAAACUCUUCACCCCAGGCCUGCUCUCCUCUACAAAACAUACAGACAACACCAGGUCCUGGGUCCCUGGAGGACACCACCGAUACUGUGAGGUGAUGGUGAGGUGAUGGUGGCUGAUGCACAGGGGUAAAUGCAAGACGAUCAACACCUUCAUUCAUGAGGAUGUGGCCACGUUGGCAUAUUUCUGCAGAAUUCCACCUCUGCCCUCUACCUACAGCUGCUGUGUGCACAACAGUCACAAAGGUACUCACGAUGUCAGUGUGCUUUGCCGCAUAGGAACCAGACCCCUGCACUGCUAUUACCACCUUAGGCCCAUCCCUGUAGGCUGUGAGGACGGGGCACCUGUUCACCUGGAUGGCUAGAUACUCCUGCACCUCACACAGGAAGCUAAGUGACUUGCACCCCACACCUCCAAACGUUUGAGGCCCUGGCCAAAGACUUCCCUGUAAUGCUUCUCCCCUCGUAUAGGGAUCUCUCAUUGUAACCAUUCAUGCGCACUUCCUGCAUCUCUCUCCCAGCCUCUGCCCCCAAAUCACCACUCCACUGGACACGCCGGCCACGGUGUCAAUUUUUUUUGGUGCAAGACAAAAUGGUGAUGGAGGAGUUGGGGAGAGCCUGGGUAAUGGGCAUCUACUGUGGAAAAGCCUUGCUCUCUCUGAGUGGCUACACAGGCCCGGCUGGCCGGGCAGAUUUGCCCACAAGGUGCUCUGGUAACAACUCGCAGUGGCACUGGCCCUAGGCAGCCCUGAGUGGUCCGGCUCACAGGGUCUUUCUUCCCCACCUCAGCUCCCUUCUCCCCAGCGGGCUCCUGCGGAGGGGAUUAGGGACAACAUCCAACGGGGGAAGCCCGCUGCCUUUCCAGAAACAAAGCCCUGAAGCUGGGAAACAGCACUGGAAGGAGCCGCUACCUGGAGGAGAGAAGUGGUGAAGCAGGGACUCUGGCAGGUGCUCGCGGCCGCCUCAUUGGCCCGCAGGGGGCGCUGCGCCACCUGAAUCCGUUGGCCAAGCAGAGACCAGAAAUUUUUCCUGGGUUGAUGGGUUGGAAGUUUUGUGGUUACCAACACACGGCUGGGGGAUAACAGGUCAAGAAGCAGAAAAUUCAGCCGAUAUGAUUACAGUCCAACUUUCAAAGAACAGAUUUCUGAAUUUUAUCAUAACUUUCAUGCUCUCAUGCUCUUUAGUAUUGAAUUUACCACCUUCAGAUUUACAUUCCAGCACUGUAGAUAUGAAGGAAAGAAAAGAUUAAGUACAGAGCAGCUACUUAUGCUAUAAGCUUUACAGUUUCACUGUACUGGAAAAGAGUUUGUUUCAUUUUUUUAAAAAUUUUUAAUGUUCAUUUAUUUUUGACAGAGAGACAGAGAGCAAGUAGGAGAGGGGCAGAGAGAGAGGGAGACACAGAAUCCGAAGCAGGCUUCAGGCUCUAAGCUGUCAGCCCCCCCAAAGGGGGGCUGGAACCCACAAAUCAUGACCUGACCCCGUCAGGGUCAUGACCUGACGCGAAGUCAGAUGCCCAACAAACCGAGUCACCCAGGCGCCCCAGUUUGUUUAAUCCUGUAAUCCAUUGUAUACACACUUCAUUUCUUUUCUUUGUUUUUCUUUUUUUUAAAGUGCGCACCAUGCCCAAAGACCCCUGAGAUCAAGAGUUGCAUGCUUUAUCCUUGGAGCCACCCAGGUGGCCCUACACAAUCCAUUUCUGAAGGCAGUUUUUCUACCCACAAGAGGGAGAAUCUGUGGGUGACUUUCUUCUCUACCCUGUGACUCCACCAAAAUCAUGUCAAGGCUUUAAAUCAAAGGAAGGCACCUGACUCUAGGGCAGCCAUCCACGGACUGACAGGCUGGGUGCCCAUGAAAGAAACUGGUCUGGAGAUUUUACUGUCCUGGAAUAAGGCUGACAAAACUGGAUACUCUUAUUUUCAUUUCCCCCGUAAUUCCAGGAGCUGUGAUUGUAUUGUCUUCGUUUGUGACCUUUAGCACGUAGCCUAUUGCUUGCUAUAAGAGAGCUUUCAAUAAAUCUUUAAUGGGCCAUUGUAAUAGGUCCUGCUGGUGCUAAGGAUUUUUUGCAGAUUCUGUUUUCAGAAUGGGAAAGUUCCCUUCCCUUCUGCUCUCCGUUUCCACCUGUAAAUGGAUUGUGAAUUUUGUUGAAUAAUUUUUCUUCAUCUGAUGACACAGUCAUAUACUAUUUCCUUCCUAAUCAGUUAAUGGAGUGGAAUUGAAUAAAAUUUCUGGACAUAAGCAGCUCCAUUUUGAAGCUCUAUUUUCCUUGUCAACUAAUGAACUCUUGGACUGGGCCAGAAGCCACAAUGGUUUUACAAGCGGUUCCUCAUAAAAUUUCAAAUGAGCAUCUGGCAUUAGGAUCAUGUGAGGACAGGAAAGUUAAUUAAUACAUCCCAGUGACCGUUUCAUUUGAUAGCACCAAUAAAGUAAUCAGUAAGAUAGUAAUCAGAAGCGGUUCAAUCAAUUAGCACCAAAUUACCUGUUUUUUUUCUUCCUUCUCUUAUCUAAAGCAUGUAAUUACCCCUUCCUUCUUUCUCAUAAAAAACCCCCAGCUUUCCCCACCUGAGGGGGCACUUUUCUGGUUACCCUUAAAUCUAGUCCCACAUUGUAACUCUGAGACCCCAAAUAAAAGCCUUUGCUCUUC